rnacentral:lncRNA from 1 species
AUGGAAGCCCAGGCCUGGGACCUGAAAUCAGGCCUCAGGACACAACCCUCACAGCCUCUCACUUUGAAAUUCUGUGGUCCCCACUAGGAACCUUUGCUUUUGUAUGAUCAUUAGAAAAACUUCAAGAAUCACAGUUCUGCUACCAAAGACUUCACAGUUUCUCCCCAAGGACCUGGGAGCCAAUGUUUCACAUCAGCUUAAAGAAAAGCUGACCCUGACCCAGGAGUACAGCAGAGGGCAGGGAAAUACACAUCUCUGAAUCACCUCAACAACUGGAAAAUAGGACCUCAUGAAAUUUAAAAGUUCCUGUGUAGUAAAGGCAGCAAUCAACAGAGUGAAAAGAUGGACUGUGGAAUGGAAGAAUAUCUUUGCCAAUUUUAUAUCUGAUAGAGCAUUAAUACCUAGAUUUUUUUUUUUUUUUUGGUUUUUCUAAACAGGAUUUCUCUGUGACUUUGGAGGCUGUCCCAGAGCUAGCUCUUAUAGACCAGGUUGGUCUGGAAUUCACAGAGAUCUGCCUGCCUCUGCCUCCCAAGUGCUGGGACUAAAGGUGUGCGCCACCACUGCCUGGCAAUACCUAUAAUUUAUAAAGAGCUAAAAAUUUAAAAUCCCAGACAGAUAGGCAAAUGAAUAUAACAAACAUUCUCAAAAGACAAAAUAGGAACCCAAUAAAUACAUGAAAAAGUGUAAAAGUGUUCAACAGUCCUCACCAUCAGGGAAACAAAAGAAAAAAAAGAAGAAAUGGUGGAGGAGGAGAAGCUAUAGCUGUUUAAGCCGGGCAUUGUGGUGCAUGCCUUUACUACCAACUCUUAGGGUGCAAAGGCAGGGAGAUCUUUGUGAGCUCUAGCCUAACUUGUCUAGGCUAGGACUGUCAGGGUUACACAGAGAAACCCUGUCUCAAAAACCAAACACCCAUCACCACCAUCAACAAAAACAAUUUCACCCUAGCUAUGUAGCUAUUAAAAAAAUGAUAACAAAGUAAGAUGACGAACGCCUUUAAUCCCAGCACUUGGUAGGCAGAGGCCCGCAGGUCUCUGUGAGUUUGAAGCCACAUCAGGGUGAGUUCCAGGAGAGACUCCAAAGCCCUGUCUCAAAAAGAAAACCCAAAAAGAUAUGAAUAUUUAAAGAGAACUGUGUGGGGAGAGGAAGGG